CAAUGACAUGUUUAGUAGCAACGUUGUUGUGUGUGCUUUUCGCCGGUAUUUGCUGCGAUGCAGCACCACAAAAAGUAGAAUCAAGAAUUGUGAAUGGAACAGAAGUUAUGGAGGGACAGUAUCCCUUUGUGAUCUCCUUAAGAUAUGAUGGAAACCAUUCCUGUGGUGGUACUGUUCUUAAUAAGGAAUGGGUCCUUACUGCAGCACACUGUGUGUAUCGCAUAGACCAAACAAGGCUGAGUGUGUUUGCUGGGUCCAUUCGACUGGAUGAUGAUACGGUACCCCUUAU